UCCAGCGGCGCGGGGUGCAGGCGGCCCAGAAGCGACCCUUCUUUGCUCCGGGUGGGUGGUGCCCUUCGUCUCCCGACCCAGAGGUCCAGGCGGGACAUGGCCACGGCCACUGUGGCAGCAGCAAGACGAGGCUUCUGCCGAGCCCGUCCACUCCUCCUCCGGCGCGGUUACCAGACGGAGAAGGGCGUCUAUGGCUACCGGCCGAGGAAGCCCGAGAGCCGGGAGCCCCGGGGCGGCCUGGCGCGCCCUCCAGUUGAUCAUGGCCUUGCCAGGUUGGUGACAGUAUACUGUGAACAUGGUCAUAAAGCUGCCAAAAUCAACCCCCUCUUCAGUGGACAAGCCUUGCAGGAGAAUGUGCCUGAAAUCCAAGCUCUUGUGCAGACCCUGCAGGGACCCUUUAAUACCACAGGAUUAUUGAACAUGGGGAAGGAGGAGGCCUCUCUUGAGGAAGUAUUGGCCUAUCUCAACCAAAUCUACUGUGGGCAAAUUUCUAUUGAAACCUCUCAACUUCAGAGCCAGGAGGAGAAAGACUGGUUUGCCAAGCGAUUUGAAGAACUGAAAAAAGAGACUUUUAGCACAGAAGAGCGAAAACACCUGUCAAAACUAAUGCUAGAAUCUCAGGAGUUUGACCACUUUUUGGCCACCAAGUUUGCCACAGUGAAGCGGUAUGGGGGCGAAGGAGCCGAAAGCAUGAUGGGCUUUUUCCACGAGUUGCUGAAAAUGUCAGCCUACAGCGGGAUAACGGAUGUGAUUAUUGGCAUGCCCCACAGAGGGAGGCUUAAUUUAUUGACAGGCCUUCUGCAGUUCCCUCCAGAGCUGAUGUUCCGUAAAAUGAGAGGCUUAAGUGAAUUUCCGGAAAAUGUUUCGGCCACUGGAGAUGUCCUGUCUCACUUGACCUCCUCGGUUGACCUGGACUUCGGCGCGCACCAUCCCCUCCACGUGACCAUGCUGCCUAACCCCUCACACCUGGAAGCCGUCAACCCUGUGGCCGUGGGGAAGACUCGAGGAAGGCAGCAGUCUAGACAGGAUGGGGACUACUCUCCAGACAGUUCGGCUCAGCCUGGGGACAAAGUCAUUUGCUUACAGGUUCACGGUGAUGCAUCUUUCUGUGGUCAGGGGAUUGUUCCUGAAACAUUUACGCUGUCUAAUCUCCCACAUUUCAGAAUUGGUGGGAGUGUCCAUCUGAUUGUCAAUAACCAGCUGGGUUACACCACUCCUGCAGAAAGAGGAAGGUCUUCCUUAUACUGCAGUGAUAUUGGGAAGCUUGUGGGCUGCGCCAUCAUCCAUGUCAAUGGAGACAGCCCAGAGGAAGUGGUCCGUGCCACACAGCUGGCUUUUGAAUACCAGCGCCAUUUCCGGAAGGAUGUGAUUAUUGAUUUGUUAUGCUACAGGCAGUGGGGCCACAACGAGCUUGACGAGCCCUUCUUCACCAACCCAGUCAUGUACAAAAUCAUCAGAGCCCGAAAGAGCAUCCCGGACACCUAUGCAGAACACCUGAUUGCCAGUGGACUCAUGACCCAGGAAGAGGUGUCGGAAAUCAAAUCCUCCUACUACUCGAAGUUAAAUAACCAUUUAACCAACAUGGCACACUAUAGCCCCCUGGCCACCAACCUGCAGGCCCACUGGCAGGGCCUGGUCCAGCCGCCAGCCUGCAUUAGCACCUGGGACACGGGUGUGCCCCUCGACCUCCUGCGGUUUAUUGGUGGGAAGUCUGUGGAGGUGCCAGAGGACCUCCAGAUGCACAGUCACCUUCUGAAGAUGUACGUUCAGUCCAGACUGGAGAAAGUGAUGGAUGGAACAAAGUUAGACUGGGCCACGGCAGAAGCUCUUGCCUUGGGCUCAUUACUUGCUCAGGGUUUUGAUGUGCGUCUGAGUGGGCAAGAUGUUGGCCGUGGAACUUUUAGUCAGAGGCACGCAAUGGUUGUUUGCCAGAAGACCGAUGACACCUAUAUCCCUCUGAACCAUAUGGACCCUAAUCAGAAGGGGUUUCUAGAGGUCAGCAACAGCCCGUUGUCAGAAGAAGCUGUCCUGGGGUUUGAAUAUGGAAUGAGCAUUGAAAGCCCCAAGUUACUGCCCCUCUGGGAGGCUCAGUUUGGUGAUUUCUUCAAUGGUGCUCAGAUCAUUUUUGACACGUUCAUCUCUGGAGGGGAGGCCAAGUGGCUCCUACAGAGCGGCAUCGUUAUUCUCCUUCCCCACGGGUACGACGGGGCUGGACCCGACCACUCCUCUUGCCGCAUAGAGCGGUUCCUGCAGAUGUGUGACAGCGUCGAAGAGGGGGUAGAUGGAGACACAGUGAACAUGUUCGUGGUGCACCCGACUACUCCUGCACAGUAUUUCCACUUGCUCAGGAGACAGAUGGUCCGGAACUUCCGAAAACCCCUCAUCGUUGCUUCUCCGAAGAUGUUACUCAGGUUCCCUGCAGCUGUGUCAGCUCUUCAAGAAAUGGCACCAGGAACAACAUUCAAGCCGGUCAUUGGCGAUUCAUCUGUGGAUCCCAAAAAGGUCAAGAGUCUCGUGUUCUGCUGCGGUAAACAUUUCUACGCCCUGCUGAAGCAAAGAGAAUCCUUGGAGGCCAAAAAGCAUGACUUUGCCAUCAUCCGGUUAGAGGAACUCUGUCCUUUCCCACUGGAUUUGUUACAGCAAGAGAUGAGCAAAUACAAACAUGUUAAAGAUUUUAUUUGGAGUCAGGAGGAGCCUCAGAACAUGGGUCCAUGGUGCUUUGUUUCUCCAAGGUUUGAAAAGCAACUGGCCUGCAAGGAAACUCUACUGCUGAAAUCAACUAAUAGUUACUGAAGAACAGGACAGAUUCAAGCAUUGAUCUCCCCUUAUGGUGCCUGGAAUUUAGUUUUUAGUUGUGACAAAUAUCUCCUUCCAGUCUAUUCUAGCUCCGUCUUGUGAGCCGACCCCCUCUGUCAGCCCCUGCUGUAGGAAUUGGCACCCUUCAUCUGCAGCAGCAUGAAGAUGUCCUCACCAAGACCUUUGCUUGAUGGUGUCCUUUGAACCAGCAUUACUUCCUUUUAAGAAAACAACCAUGAGGGGCGCCUGGGUGGCUCAGUCGGUUAAGCGGCUGCCUUCAGCUCAGGUCAUGAUCCCGGGGUCCUGGGAUCGAGCCCCGCAUCGGGCUCCCUGCUCGGUGGAGAGCCUGGUUCUCCCUCCCCCUCUGUCUGCCGCUCUGCCUACUUGUGCUCUCUGUCUAUCUCUGUUAAAUAAAUAAAUAAAAAUCUUUAAAAAAAAAAAAAGAAAAAAGAAAACAACCAUGAAAAGAAAAGCCGGCUCCUCUACUGUCUUCUUCUGUUAGGUGACAUGAAAAGUCUGUGUUCCUCGUUGGGAUUGAUGAGGACAGUUUAAUCGGAAUACGCAGAAUAGCCAAGGGAAUUAUCCAUCAAUCCAUGAAUCUGACGAGUCACCUUUAUCUUUAAACGUACAACAGUGUUGGGACGCCUGGGUGGCUCAGAUGGUUAAGCGUCUGCCUUUGGCUCAGGU